rnacentral:rRNA from 1 species
AACUUUUGGCAACGGAUUUCUUGGCUCCCGCAACGAUGAAGAACGCAGCGAAAUGCGAUACGUAUCAUGAAUUGCAGAACUCUGAAUGAUAAAUGUUGAAUCACUA